UUCUUUGACCACAAAAAUCUUCUCCGGUCAUCCUCCGCCUCCCUACAUCGAGUGUUGCUUGCGUCUUUCCCUUGCACUCCGACCGCCGCCACCGAUUCUUCCCCGUUCGUUGACAUCGAUCAAGGCUCAUUUACUUCUACCCACUGGAACCACCAUAUCUCCCACUCGAUGUUGAACUUGUCAGAAAAAGCCCUAAUUCAGUAUUAUACUCUCAAGUCUCAAUAUUAAGAAUGCAAAUCUUGAUUCUUGUUUGUUUCUUAUUCCCCACAGAUAAACCGAAAAAGGGGAAUUAGAAUAACGAAGGUAGCGGGAGUUUUGGUCCGGUGGCCGUGGUUCAUCUAUCGAGCAAGGAAGAUGGGAACGCAAGCAACCAUGGUGGCUCGAUGAUGCAAUCAAUCGAGAAAGGGGAAACACCUUUAGUGCGGGAUCAAUUUGAAAAAAAAGGAGAAGGGAGAAGCAGCGAUGCUUCCCUUGUCUGCCACAGCUAGGGGAAGGCGCUCCGACGGUCUCCUUGGUUGUUCUUCCUUGUCGCCAUCAGAUUACACGUAGGGAGGGGACUCAACUUGUCCGAUGGAGCAGGGCAAGUAGCGACUAGUAGAUCAGGAUGAUCGAUCUAUUCGUGAGGAGGAGGAGGUAAUUAUCGGUUCUUGGUGAGCUUUCCUUGGCUUCUUAGACUCCGUCAUCGGUAGAAAGUGGGGUAAGUGAGUCGGUUUCUUGUCUGGUUUCGCUGAAAUAAACGGAGGGAGGAAAGGUUUGGGUGGAGGUCUAAUCGAUGAAAACAGUGGGAGCCUCUUGGUCUCGUCGGAUGCUACUCCAUCUCCAGUGGACACCUCCCAUGUACUCCGUUUUACUUAUGUAUUUUGUCGACUAUCCUGUAGGUCUCUUCUUCUUAUUCACGCCUCCACCAUGGACCUCAAUUUUAAACCACCUGAUGCUCGCUUCUUUCUUCUUGAAAGACCCUCCGUCAUACCAAGUUACUAUUCAGAUCACUGAUGUCGGGCCAGUUGGCAUCCACGGUGGUGCGGGACAGCUGACGUCCCUUCCUCCCUCUGGGAAAAAACCACCACAACAUCAUUCCCAAUGUAUCAAGACCACAACCUCACACCCUCGCCACCAAUUUACAUCAAGGAAUCUGCCAGCCACCACCACUAACACUUUUUUAGGUUGGAUAUUUGUUUGGGUUUGGUUUCUUGAAGAUGUUCAUGGUGUUCUGGGACUCCACAGAUACGGUUCAUGAACGAAUGACACAAAAAAAUAUUGAUGGCAUUAUAAAAGGUUGUUGCUUUUAACAAGCCCAGUUAGGAGUUGAAGAGCAUGGAAGAAUUCCUCAAGUUUGACCUGGAAUAUGACCAACCAGGUUUACAACAUUCUAAUUAUUUUUUUCUUUCAAGAACUUUAAAUUAUUAUAUUAUUAAUUUGCUUUUGUCCCUUCAAUUACUAGUGUCCUACAAAUACUUUAAGAAUUACCUCUAUGCAGAUGCCCAAAUCAGUAUUGCUAGGUUGACGGUCGCAAUGGUUAUGCAAUCUAUAAAUGAGUUGUAUUAGAAAAUGGAUAGCUCUGUACUUGAUUUCAAAUUGAUCCGUACUAGAUCUAGGUUUUAGCUGUAUUAGAUUUCAAGCUAAUAACAUUCAUAAAUCCCUGUAUUCUAUUCCCAUUCUUACGGUAUUAACCGUAUAAUAUGUCCGUCUUAGAUUAACAUUACCCAGUUAUAAUACGAAUUUUUAUUACAACCGCAUUAGAUGUGGUGUACUACAUUAGCUAUUUUCCAGUAGUGUUUGUAGCAAUUUAUACAAAGGGGUUUUUUGUUUUAACUUAAUGAGAUUAAUUAAUGGGUAAAAUUAAACCCUUUUGAAUGAAUAGACUAUGUGAUCUAAGUUUGUUCUGUUUCAAAGCAUGGUCACUGUUCUUGAUAAACUUCAGUUUGGUGUACACUCUCUUUCUUCUUGAUGAUGUAGUUUUAAGAAUAUAUGUUCUGUAAUGCAAUUAAUGAUGCUUCAUUUAAGUGGGUAAUAUUCCAGUUCUCUUACCAUAGCCGCCUUCUGAUUCUAUCAUUCUUAGGCAGCUGACUGUAUGGCUGCUUAGCCGCAUUUCGGGACAGCUGACUAUAUGGUCGACAGUUUUCUAGGUGAAAGUACUUAUCUUUUCUUACAUUCAUGAACCAUAUCUGAUGCCAUUUUGUUUUUGUUAUUUUAUAUUGCAUUGACAGCUUUGUAAUUGCAUGCUCUUACUAAACUGUAUAUUACAACUCUAGCUUGACUAAAUCUUUUAACCAUACUAGGGAGAAAUUGAUAAAUCCAUCAACAAAUUUGACUCCAAAGAAUAAAGACGAUUUUUAUUUGGAAAAGAGGCAAUUCUUGUCAUGAUUCUCACUGAUCUUACAUCUUGUUUUUUUAUAUCAAGUUUAAAGUUUACUUAAUCUGCAUGAUUUUUGUUUCUAUACUUAUUUUAUUUAGAUUUAUAUGCAUAUUCUGCAACUACAACUUUAUUUUACCAAUGGCUUUCUUAUAAUUUAUGUUGACAUUUGUUUUUUUACCAAUUUAUGCAACGAAAUGGACUUGUUACAAAUCUAUGCAAAUGCCAAAAUUCGUGAAUUAAUUGCAACAAUUUGAAACAUGACUACUUGCAUAAUUCUUGUUAGUAAAAAGUCAUUGCAUAAUGGCAUGUGUUCAUUUCAAUCCUAGAAAGAUUAUCGCACCUUAGAGAGUAGAUUCU